rnacentral:rRNA from 1 species
CAUAUCAAUAAGCGGAGGAAAAGAAACUAACAAGGAUUCCCCUAGUAACUGCGAGUGAAGCGGGAAAAGCUCAAAUUUAAAAUCUGGCAGUCUUUGGCUGUCCGAGUUGUAAUCUAGAGAAGUGUUAUCCGCGCUGGACCGUGUACAAGUCUCCUGGAAUGGAGCGUCGUAGAGGGUGAGAAUCCCGUCUUUGACACGGACUACCAGGGCUUUGUGAUGCGCUCUCAAAGAGUCGAGUUGUUUGGGAAUGCAGCUCAAAAUGGGUGGUAAAUUCCAUCUAAAGCUAAAUAUUGGCGAGAGACCGAUAGCGAACAAGUACCGUGAGGGAAAGAUGAAAAGAACUUUGGAAAGAGAGUUAAACAGUACGUGAAAUUGCUGAAAGGGAAACGCUUGAAGUCAGUCGCGUUGUCCAGGGAUCAACCUUGCUUUUGCUUGGUGCACUUUCUGGUUGACGGGUCAGCAUCAAUUUUGACUAUUGGAAAAAGAUUGAGGGAAUGUGGCAUCUUUGGAUGUGUUAUAGCCCUUGGUUGCAUACAAUGGUUGGGAUUGAGGAACUCAGCACGCCGCAAGGCCGGGUUUUUAACCACGUACGUGCUUAGGAUGCUGGCAUAAUGGCUUUAAUCGACCCGUCUUGAAACACGGACCAAGGAGUCUAACAUGCCUGCGAGUGUUUGGGUGGAAAACUCGAGCGCGUAAUGAAAGUGAAAGUUGAGAUCCCUGUCGUGGGGAGCAUCGACGCCCAGACCAGACCUUUUGUGACGGAUCUGCGGUAGAGCAUGUAUGUUGGGACCCGAAAGAUGGUGAACUAUGCCUGAAUAGGGUGAAGCCAGAGGAAACUCUGGUGGAGGCUCGUAGCGAUUCUGACGUGCAAAUCGAUCGUCAAAUUUGGGUAUAGGGGCGAAAGNACUAAUCGAAUCAUCUAGUAGCUGGG